rfam:Vitrella brassicaformis CCMP3155 genome assembly, contig: scaffold108
GGGGUAGUCAGUCAGUUGAUUCUCAGCGUCCGUGCGAAGAGGCUGCAAGGUCUCUUUGGUCAACAGGCUGGGGGGAAAGUCCCCGUGCACUGGGGCAGAGAGUGCCGCUGCGGCGGCAGGGACCCCUCGACCACUGGGGAACUCUGUCGUAAGACCGAGUGCCCCUGAGACCCACGCGCUUUCGUUCGCGAAGGUGUGUGGAGAGGAGGGGAUCUCCUUGGUGGCGAGGGCAAUGGCACGGCACCUCCUUGGGGGGUGUCUUUCUGCUGCUUGAGUGAAUUCAGCUGGUGCGAUGUCCUUCCCCGGGCACACGCACUUACUCGAUGGGGCUUAUGCCUGAACUACCC